GAACAAACUCUAACACCCCAACCACGUCGUUCAUGGAAGGUCGCUGAGUCCCAUCCUCAAGCAAACAGCUCAACGCAACCUCACCAAAUUUGCGCAAACAGUGAGGUGCUAUCUGCCCCUUCAAUGCUGGAUCCACAAUGUCACCCAGAGACCCCUUCUCAUACCAAUGCUUCGCCCAAUCCACAAGUGACACCUGUGGCUUCUCUACCAUUCGGAGCAAAGGCUGCCUCCCACACAAUACCUCCAACAGCACCACCCCAUACGAGUAAACGUCCGACUUCUCCGUCAAACGCUGUCGUUUGUAAUACUCCGGAUCCAAAUACCCAAUACUGCCUUUCACCUGAGUGCUCACAUGGGUCAUCAAAGAACCCAUGGGCCCAAUUCGAGAUAACCCGAAGUCUGAAACCUUCGCCACCCAUUUUUCAUCCAACAAGAUGUUAGUGCUCUUCACGUCACGGUGAAUGAUCAUUUGUUUCGCACCUGUAUGCAGAUAAUGCAGUCCUCGUGCGGCGCCGAUGCAUAUCUGAAGCCUUUGAUUCCACGAGAGCGGAGGGUUAUCGGUUCCGUAGAGAUGAUCACGGAGGGUUCCACGAUCCAUUAAGUCGUAAACGAGUAUCAUCUCGUUGCUCUCGUAGCAGUAACCGAUGAGGGAAACAAGAUGGACAUGACGAAGUUUAGAGAGCAUUUCGAUCUCGUUCAUGAACUCGUUCAGACCUUGCUGAGAACCCGGUUUGAGCCUUUUGAUAGCGACAGGUGUUGAGCCGUCGUCGAUGUAGCCUUUGUACACGUCGCCGAAGCCUCCCGCUCCAAUGACGAAGAGUUUGUCGAAGUUAUUUGUCGCGGCCCUGAUUUCUGCGAUUGAGAAAUGACGGCAGAGGUUGGUUGGCAGCGAUGAUGAUGAGCCUCCCCCGCGAGAAGUUCCAUCUUUUUGGUUUUUGUAAACAACAACGUUCUGCUUGCAUUUGGUGAUGAAAAAAACGACUAUAAAGGAGAGUAAAACGACACCAAAAACUGCACCUGCGAUGGCUGCAAUUAGGGGUCUGGUGGUGCCGCUACUUUUCUGCUCUGGUAUUUGCUUAUCGAGGGUUUUUGGAAGAGGAUCUGGGUUGGGUUCAGCGAGACUACCUGUUGUGUCGUUGAUUUUGAAGAGUUCAAUUGCAUUAAGUUGUGCAUCCUGGAUGAAGCUUUUAGGAUGAGGAUGCAUUUCCAGUGAAAGAUAUACCUUUUCCCUAUUCCCUGGAAUGUAAACUGCGUAGUCUUUAACCACUGGUACACCCUUCUGGUUGUCGCUCCACAUGAGAAUGUCUGCACCUCCUUCAGCCAUCAGUUUCUGAAUGAAGAUGUAGAAUAUUUGGUUUCCAGGGUCUUGAACCUCCGGGUUGAGCUGACAAAAGUGUAACCUUAGCAAGUAGAAGAAGCCAGAAUAAACCGGAAACUGCCAUGUCAGGUUCUUAAAGGGAUUCAAUCCAAUAUUCCUUACGGUUCGGUAUACUUGGUCGGGUGCCGUGUAGUUAGGAGUCUUAACGAAGCUGAGAUUAGUUUUCUUGAUAAAAUCAACAGAUGUUCCACUGUCAGUAAUUAGGUAUUUAUCAUCCGUAUCCCAGGCCCUGAGCAUGCCAGUGUCCUGCGAAGGGGAGAUUUGUGCUCCUCCAACAUUCAACCGGUGCUUCGUCUCCAGAGAAACGUUGUUUGUAAUGAUAUAUACUUGGUUCAUUUGACCAACAAGUUGUGGCAAUCCAAUGAAGUCGUCAAGAACGGUGUAGUUAGGGUUGGAGUAGUAGAGAUAAGAGGGCAUUGAAACAAUCUCGAUUCCAUUAAUGAAAGCGUACGAAUCCGUGGUGGUUGGAGUGAAGGUUAUGUUGAGGCUCUCACCAUGUUGGAGGUAGAUGCAAUACUCUCUGAACAAGGUGUCGUGGUGGCCAGGGUCGUCGUCAGUAUCAGCAUAGAGGGAAGCAUUGAAAUGUUGAAGGAGGGUGUAUGGGCCUGCUUGGACUGAGAAAUAGGCUUUGGAGCGGUCAAACAUUUGGUAUGAAGUUGAGUAGAAGAAGAGACGAAGGAAGAAGGGGCCUUGUGUGGUGACGGGGAAGGAGUAGGUGAAUUGGGAAUAAGAGAGGCGAGCAUAAGUGUAAGGGCCCUGUGUUGUUGAUUGUAUCUGUGCAGGAGCAGCAACUGAGUCCUUGCUUUCGGAGAGGAAUUUGGUAUUGCUAUCUCCAGUCCAGUUCCGACCAUCGACACUGAAGUUUAUGUCGGAGCCACAGUUUACGGUGAAAUGCUCAACGGGACGGUAAAUAACGUCUGCUGUGGAAAGGUAAGGGUGGCACAACAAGAGGAGGAAGAGGAUGGUCGCCAUGCAUGUUGUGUCCAUUGAUAAACUGUAAGGGAAGCUCACACAGACCUCAAACACUAGAAAUGGAGGAAUUAACUUGUUUAUUAAUCAGAUUUCUGUAUAUUAUUCUCUGAGCAAGCAUAUAAGACUUUAAUGCACCGGGUUCCAUCGCUAUAUGUAUUUAUUAUUAUUUGUGGAAAUUUCAGCCUCCGCAAAAAUAUCUUGAGUGAUUUUUGUUUAUGUUUUUUAAAAAUCAAUAUUAAAGAUGAUAUGUUAUAAAUAGUCAUUUUAACAUUUUUAUUUUUGUAUUAACAUUUAAAAUUAUUUGAUGAGUUUAACGACAUAUUGUUCUGUAAAUGUUUUUAUAGGAAAUCACUGCAUUGUAUUAAGAAAAGAUGAAUGAAUAUAGUUGAUCUCCCAAGAUUCUGGCAAUUGAAAACUGAACUGCAGAUUCCAAAAAUGGUCCUAACAGUGUUAUGCCCCACUGCACAUGGGAAGGAGGAAUUAUUGAGGUGGAGAGUUAGGUUAGAAAGUGUUAUUAUUUUGCAACUGCCACCAUAAUGUAGUGCAGCUGUAAUCUUGGAAGUGGUAUAUGUAUAUAUUAAAGGUGGAUAGUGGAUGUCCAUUGGUGUGUAGAAGUGAUGAGCAGCAUGAAGAAGCUAUCAUCAACCCCUUUCUUGAUAUGGGUUAUGGUGAUUACGCUGCAUGCACAUCUUAGCAUUGCAGCUGUGUCCAACGCCAAUGACUCCACCCCUCUGUGUGAUGGCUCCCUACAAGACUGCCUCAUCUUCCAUCAAUUGGACUCAGAAUUUCCCACUAUCACCACUACAAUGGUUGCUAAAUCCAGUUUAGUGACCCCUAGCAAUGUUUUUAAUCCACGUAAGCCAGCCAUCCGUUGUAGGAUCAUUAACAAUGGUUAUCGUUUCUGUUCGAACUUACAAGCACCAGAUCGGGUUAAAAUUAAUCCAGAAAGGUGUUCGCCCUACAAAAGGACUUGCCCAAGAUGAAUAUCUAAGAUUGUGAUCUUGUUGGUCAUGCUAUAUAUGUAUGUAUUCUCAUGCUUUGGCUUCUUCACUCUACUGUUAUAAAUGUCUUAUUAGUUAGCAUGUUUUUGUUACUGCAAGAACAAAUUUCAGGGAAGAUAGACAUUGUCAACAUAUCUGUGAGCUUUUCUGCAUUCAAUUUAUUGAAGUCAGUGUGUGUCUAUAUAUAAAAUAUGGACUGCUGUUUCAACUUCUAUCUCUCAAUCUGUACGAGGAUAAGUUUAAUAGUGGAUAUUUAUACAAGGAAAUCUAUGAAUUAAUUUAACUUUAAAAAAAAUUGACUUGUUUUAUUUUUAUUUGAUUUAUGUAUGUUGUUCUGGAUUUUAAAAAUCAUAAAAAAUAUUUAUUUUACAUAUGAGAAUUGAAAAGAAAAAAUAAAGAAAAUGUAUAUUGAAAAUAGGAUGUGUAAAGUAAGUAAUACACAAAUUUAUUUAGAAUGACACUCCAAUUUAAUUUAUGAUAAUCAAUUUGCAGCACAUAAAUAUGUUUAAAAAAAUAAAAUAUAGGAGAGUUAAACCAAACACGAUUUACAUAUUAUGGAUACAAAUUGUUAUUCAAAAGUUUAUUUUGAAAAUUUUAUAAAAUAUUGCGUACGGAAUUUUUGUUGGAAAUCAUUAAAUCAAACAUAAUUUUUAUUUUUCAGAAACACGAUAUAAGAAUUCAAGCAAAGCCUUAUAUUUAAAUGAAAUUUAUAUUUAAAAAUAAAAAUAGAAAAAAAUAGACUAUAUGUUUUCUCAAAUAAAAAAUUAUAUUAAAAAAUACAAAUAGAGAUUGAAAAAAACACAAGUAACAUUUUGUCUUUUCACUCUCGUACCAUCUUCUUUUCCAACAUGUUCAAUUCUAUUAUCAAUAUGAGUAAUGUGACUAUGAGUCCUUGGUUUGGAAAGACAAGUGAAUUUCUAGGCAUCUCCGAUUGUGGAAAAUUCGAAGUGGGAGUGAAUAACUCCUAUUUGGGUGGGGACGUAUCAUAAUCUAAGGCAUUCUCGAAAGGAAACAUGUUUGUAAAAUCAUUCUCCUCUCACCUAGUUUAUCAGAAGCAAGGUGACCCAAGAGUGACCUUGCAUUAGCCCCACCAGGAGCAUCAAUUUCAAUUUCCCAGGGAGGUCUUCCACGAGCUUCUGCUACAAAUCUUUCUUUGGAUACUCUUUACGUUGUUUAGGAAUCGCGAUCCCCUGUUCCCGUUCAUCAGAAGUUGUCUUCUGAGAAGGUUUAUGUUAAGGUCCAAGAAUACGAUCCUGAUCAUGAAUUACCCCGCACUGAGCAAGCUCAUGCUCAAUCAUCUUACAAUGAGAGCAAAAUGGAGAGAGUCAUUCAUAUUUCGCACCAGCUAUAAAGCAAAGUCUAGACAUUCAACCAAGAGGUGGUCGGGAAGAGGGGACAACAUAUAUUAGAUUAUAACACAUGUUUGAGUUUUGGUAGUCUUCAUGGUUGCUGGAACAAAGUCUUUUGUCCCAGCAAAUCUCAAGAAACCAGGAGAUAACUUCAAGGAACCCAUCCUGAGGGUCCAUCGUAUGUCUUCUAAAGAAGCGAACUCAAACUCGUAGAAACCCUUUCCAAGAAGAAUUGUUUUCCACGGUCCAAAAGCCUUCCACACUGCUGCAACUUUUUAAUUAAAUCUAGGUGUGUGAGAGGUUUAUCCCCCUUAGAUAGAAUAAUCUGACCAUGAAGAUGGGUCUUGCAAAGACCAACCAAGUAAUUUGCCUCAUCAAUCCGGACAGCAAUCAUGUCUCCUUUAAUACAAGGAGUAGGUAUAUGGGACAAAGGAAUGUCACAUGUAUUUUCCAAAGUCUGAGUAAAAGUCUUCCUUCAGCCUGACAUAGCAAACACUUUCUUAUUAGGGAACACUUCUCGAUCCAUCAAACAAGUCCAUGGGAUUAAGAAACCCGCAAAGCCCUCCGUCAUUCUCAAAGGCUAAGAAGUUGUCAACUAGGCUACGCCAACUGCCACCAUCCCACUAGCCGCACCACCUAAAAAUCUUGACUCUACCACAAAUGUUGAUAAAAAUUGUGACUUUACCACAAAUUUCAAUAAAAAUCGUGACUUUACUACAAAUUAAAACUGGUUACAUGAAAAACGUGUCAACUUUGGUUGUGGGCAAUAGAAUUUCUAAGAAGAAAUUUAAGGAAAGAAUACACCUUGAAAGCAAACGUAUAGAGUCGCCGCAUCACCACCAACGUCUCGGUAGACUACUGCGCCGCCACCGACCAGCAUCCACAACCCAUGCGCCACCACCGUCCACCACUAAGCUGGGGAAUGAACAAUCACCCACACAAACCCUAGUCACACCAAAACCCUUCAUAUAACAAAGCAAAAAUCUCUAGAAAAGAUAAUUGAUUACACACAAAUAUAAGAAAUUACUUUGCAAAUAAAGACUAUCCAUUAAUAUUAAUUUAAAAAAUAAAAAAUAAUUUUACUUUUUAAGUAAUUCAUAUUAAAUAAUAAAAUGUUCCUUUGUAUUAAUAAAUAAAAUAUAUUAAAUAAAGAUAAAAUAAAAAAAAUUGUGUAAAAAAAAAGGGUUAUAAGAAGGAAACCUCUAAUUUAAUUUAAUAUUAUAGCUAUGUUGUUAUCCUAAAAUCACCGUGUUUUAACAAAUUUAUUAUUUUAAAAAAGUAAACCAUUAUUAUAAUGAUCAUAUUAUUUUUAAAAAUAAAUAAAAUUAUAUAUUUUUAUAUUUUAAAUUGAUUUAAUUCAUUAAAAAUAAUAAAUUUAUUUUAAUUUAUUUAACUAAAUAAUAUAUUAAAAUAUUUGCCGGAAACUAUUAUAAUUAAAAUAAUAUCUACAAAUUCAUAACAAAAUUAAAAAUUAUAUACAUUUAUAGCGUAAAUUAUUCAUAAAAAAAAAAAAAAAUUAUUUAAUUAAAUAACUAAUUAUACAAGAACGAGUAAAGUUCUAGUUCUUAUCCCUGUUUACGCCCCUCUUUAUAACUAAUUAAAUAUAUAUAUAUAUAUAUAUAUAUAUAUAUAUUUAUUUAUUUCUUAUUACGUGUUUUUUUUAUUGUACAUACUAUGUUCAAUGACAAGUUUUAUUUUUUAAAAAAUAAAGUAUUGAAAAAUACUGUCAUAAUAGUAAUAGAUUUGUUGAUAACUAUUUUAAGAAUAAUAUCAAUUGUAAUUUCUAACAUAUAAAAAAAUUUACAUUAAUGAUAAAUAUAAAUAUUAGACACUUAUUUAACAUGAAGUUUUUAUUUUAUCAAGAAUGAAUGAAAUAAAAAAAAAAAUAGAAUACUUCAGGUACCCAUAUAAAAAAUGAAAAGGUUCACACCCAUGAAUUAUAACAAAACAAAACAAAACAUUCUAAGGCCAACUUAACAUGAAGUGUUAUUAACAAUUAUUAAUUUUUUGUAACCUCAUCAUAUUUAGUCUCAUAACCAUAUUUAAAUAUGAAAAAUAUUUUCUCUUUAUCAUAUCACGCUGUAUAUUGAAACUGGGAGUGAAUUUGAAUAGUGGUUGAAGCUCAUCGUCCCUUUGGAUCCUUAAUCUCUGAGAAAACGUCACCAGGGAUCAACACAGACGAUUCCUUGCUCCUCCAGCUGCUAUUAUCUCCAUCGGUGCUCUUACUAUAAUCUCCACCAUGUUGGCUACACUCAUCCCUGCUCGAUACCUCCUCACCAACACCACUAUUCUGAAGCUGCAGAACCAACUCCAGCAUCCCAAUCACGUCUUUCAUGGAGGGUCUCUCGGCCCCAUCCUCCUGCAAGCAGCUCAGCGCAAUAUCACCAAAUUGGUGCAAACAGUGAGCUGCUAUGUGGCCCUUCAAUGAAGGAUCCACAAUCUCACACAGACAUCCCUUCUCAUAGCAAUGCUUCGCCCAUUUAACAACUGAGAUCCGUUGCUUCUCCUCCCAGUGGACCAGAGGUUGUCUCCCACACAAUACUUCCAAG
rnacentral:lncRNA from 1 species